AAGAAAAAGCAGAAGCACCCGCUUCUCGCCUUGGUGAUUAGGAUUGCCGGGCUGACGAGAUGAAAUUGAGCAGACGAGGAAGGUCUGUUCCUAUUGAGCGGGGUGCGUUUAGCACUCCGCUUUUUUGCUUGAUC
rfam:Lactobacillus oris PB013-T2-3 contig00096, whole genome shotgun sequence.